rnacentral:rRNA from 1 species
GACGAACGCUGGCGGCGUGCUUAACACAUGCAAGUCGAACGGUGAACGAGGGAGCUUGCUCCCUCCGGAUCAGUGGCGAACGGGUGAGUAACACGUGAGCAAUCUGCCCCGAACUCUGGGAUAAGCGUUGGAAACGACGUCUAAUACCGGAUACGACGCGGGAGGGCAUCCUCUCCGCGUGGAAAGAACUUCGGUUCGGGAUGAGCUCGCGGCCUAUCAGCUUGUUGGUGAGGUAACGGCUCACCAAGGCGACGACGGGUAGCCGGCCUGAGAGGGUGACGGCCCAAACGGGAACUAGAACAGGGCCAGAACUCCUAGGGGGGCAGCAGUGGGGAAAAAUGGCAAAAGGGGGGAAGGCUGAAGCAGGAAACGCGGGUGAGGGGAGAAGGCCUUUGGGGUGGAAAACCCUUUUAGCAGGGAAGAAGCGAAAGUGACGGUACCUGCAGAAAAAGCACCGGCUAACUACGUG